rnacentral:rRNA from 1 species
AUUCCCUGAGUAGCGGCGAGCGAAACGGGAACAGCCCAAACCAGAAUGCUUGCAUUCUGGGGUUGUAGGACGUUUAUACACGGACAGGACGGUUAGCCGAAGGCUUUGGGAUAAGCCGCCGAAGCGGGUAAGAGCCCCGUAGGCGAAAACUGUCAGGUUCGUAAACGGAUCCUGAGUACGACGGGACACGCGAAAUGCCGUCGGAAACCGGGAGGACCAUCUCCCAAGGCUAAAUA